CCUGUUUAACAAAAACAUCGUCUUCUGUUAACUCAUAUAGAAGAUAAUGCCUGCCCAGUGAAAAUUUUAAACGGCCGCGUUAGCGUGAGCGUGCUAAGGUAGCGUAAUAAAUAGCCUUUUAAUUGGAGGCCAGUGAAUGGCAAGACUAGGGACAUCUGUACCCUGUAUAGAAAAACAACUUUUCAUCUGGGUGAAAAGACCCAAAUAAUAAAGGAAGACGAAAAGACCCCGCGGAACUUUACCUUUUCCAGUCCCCACAUGCUCAGAAACAUAAGAACAAAAGGUUUGAUUGGGGCAAUCUCGGAACAAACCAAACUUCCGACCCAUAAAAAAAGUAUAUAAAACUCAAUAAGGGCCAAAAAGAAGUUA
rnacentral:rRNA from 1 species